AUUUGAUGGUAGCAAGGUUGGUAGGAAAUCUUGGUUGAGUCUAAGGCUGCGUAGCAAGCAUAACUCGGUCACGUGUUGAGAGAGCUACUUCAGUGUUGAUAAGUUGUAGAGAUCUCCCCUGUUCUUUAACAGUUCUCGCUUCCGGUACAGGGGUGUGAUCAUGGCACGACUGCUUACUUGCUUUUUACCCAAACAUGAGCUAACUUCUAAAUGAGGCAAGACGAGAGAAGAAAUAACUAACCCCCAUCACCUAACUUCUAAAGCAAACAAGGGAGUAUUUUGUGUCCGCUCACAUUUUCUCGUCCUUCACAUAAAGGGCAAUGUUAAUAUUAAGAUUUGGGGUUAGGGUCUUUGUGUGCAUUUUGAUUAUGUGGCUGUAAAUAAUUUGAUUAAUUUCUCUUUGAUUUGUUGAUUCUGAAUUUUCCUUUUUCAGCAGUGUAUAUAACAAUGUGAAUACUAAAGAAGUUAUGUGUUUUUAAGUGGCAGGACUAUGCCACGAAGCCUGAUGUGAAUUGAUUCUGAAGUUUCCUUUUUCAGCAGUGUAUAUAACAAUGUGAAUACUAAAGAAGUUAUGUGUUUUUAAGUGGCAGGACUAUGCCACAGAGCCUGAUGAGAAACUUAUACGAAAUGCAACACAUUUGAUGGUAGCAAGGUUGGCAGGAAGUCUUGGUAAUGUAACCUGUAAGGUUGAGUGUAAGGCUGCGUAGCAAGCAGAACUCGGUCCCGUGUUGAUAGCUCUACUUCAGUGUUGAUCAAGUUCCAGAGAUGUCCCCUGAUCUUCAGCAGUGAGGUGUUAUAGCUGUAACCACUACUCGUAGGAUUUUUAUGCUAGUGCACUUUGAGCACACAGUUUUGUAGGGACUAACCCGGAGUUGUCCUGGUUCUCACUUCUGGUAUAGGGGGGCACCACCCCUUACUUGCUUUCUACGUAAACAAGGAAGUAUUCUAUCUCCCUUUACAUUUUCUUGUCCUUCACAUUUAAGCUAAUGUUUAGAAUAGUUUUGAGGUGUGGUUGUUUGCGUGCAUUCUUCUUUUUGUGGUUGUAAUUUAUCAUAUUUGUGUAUGUAUGCAAGGUUUUCUCUAUUGAUUUUCACCAUAAAUACUUUUUAUGGGUUAUUAGUGUCGACUAGUUUAUCUCAAGGGUUGGAGAACUAAGAUUCCAUAAUUUAAAACACCUAACUUAGUAGUAUUUUAAUAAUAUGUGAAAAUGAACAAUACAGCUGAACAAGACAUGCUGCCGAACAAGACCAAGUACAUAUCUUAUAGUAUUUUCUAUGGUCUCUAGAUAUUUUCUCUCUGGUGAACGUGGAGUCUGUUGAUGUUUUUUCUGAUUAAUGGGAUUUACUUUUAAAAGCAAUAAUACUAGCAAAUAACUGAUAUAAAAAAUUUGGUAAAAGAUUGUGUUAAUUUAAUCCAUUGUGUAAUAUUGUUUCUAUUUUGCCCUUGUUGCAUUUAAACCUUGUAUACAUGCAGUCCAAACCAUAGAUGGGAAACAGAUCAACAACUUUUUUUUAGGAGAUAGAGAGUGUUGUGCAACUAUUUUUUAUGCUAGCCUUUAUGUACUAGGUCAAAUGAGCCCUUUGUCCUAAGCUAGACCACCCGUCACAUUCACAACAACGAGUUUAUGAGGUUAUUCUCUGACAAAUUCUAGGACAUCUAAGUUGAUUCAGGUGGUCAGGCAAGAAUCGAUCCAUCCAGAGCUCAAAUGCAUUUCCAGUUUGACCCUCCGCUUCAUCAGUAGGUGGAUUUUCCUAUCAAUUUGUAUCGCUACUUCUGACGAAAUGAGUGUUAGCACUGGAAUUGGUGCUAUGCCUCACACACCCGAAAUUGGCUCUGACGAGAUAGAACUUGUUGGAUCCCCGAUACCUCCAAGUUAUUGAUGGAACCUUUCAGUUAUGCAAACGAACCUGGAAAUGCUGCACAUCAUACUAAUGCAACUCUGUCUGCCGAGCAUCCUGGGACAAAUGUACCAUACUAUCUCAGAGAAGGACAAUAUUUCCGAUGAUGCACCAUAUAAUUUCACAGGCUGGAUUUGGUCUAGAAGUGGGGAUGAUGUCAAUCCUACAUGGAGCUAAGGAGGAGUUAACUUCUAAAUGAGGCAAGAUAAGAGAAGAAAUACCUAACCCCCAUCACCUAACUUCAAACGCAAACAAGGGAGUAUUUUGUUUUCGCUCACAUUCAUUUUCUUGUCUUUCACAAAAAGGACAAUGUUAAGAUUAAGAUUUUGGGGUGAGGGUGUUUGUGUGCAUGCUUGAUUAUGUAGUUGUAAAUAAUUUGAUUAAUUUCUCUCCGAUUCGUUAAUUCUGAAGUUUCCAUUUUCAGUAGUGUAUAUGAGAAUGUGAAUACUGAAGAAAUUAUGUGUUUUUAAACGGCAGGACUAUGCCACAGAUCCUGAUGAGAAACUUAUACGAAAUGCAACACAUUUGAUGGUAGCAAGGUUGACAGGAAAUCUUGGUAAUGUAACCUGUAAGGAAUCACAAUCGGAGUUGAUACUGAUGAAUGGAAUCCAUCCACUGAUACACAUCUUCCUCGAUUGAUAACCUCUCUGGAAAUGUUGUGUUACACUAAAAUUUUAAAUAUUAUUCCACCAUUUGUGUUUUUCUACGACAGUUAGAUCAGCUAUCGAAGGACCAAAUUUGCUUUGGAUUGUGAUCUUGAGUUUGGUCCUACUGCUUAUCUAAUUUCUGCUUAUGUUCAUUCUACGUUGAGUGUAAGGCUGUGUAGCAAGCAGAACUCGGUCCAGUGUUGAGAGCUCUACUUCAGUGUUGAUCAAGUUCUAGAGAUGUCCCCUGUUCUUCAGCAGGGAGGUGUUAUAGCUGUAACCACUGCUCGUAGGGUUUUUACGCAAAGGAGUCAAUGUGGAGUUAACUUCUUUGGAGCCAAGAUGAGAAAAGAAAUACCUAACCCCUACAACCUAACUUCCCACACAAACAGGAGAGAUUUCGCUUAUCACAUAAAGGGAAAUGUUAAGUUUCAUUUUGGGGGUGUGGGUGUUUGUGUUUGUGUUUGUACCAUGUGUCCUUUGUAUUUUGUGUAUAGUAAUAGUGUAGUGUGU